CACGGCUUCGUCCCCGCACCACCCACACACAAGUGCACGCACAAACACACGCAUACUGUACACUCAGGUAAAUACAGUGUGAGUGUAGACACACAAUGCACGCAAGUAUGUAAAGUAUGUACAAGCGCGCACGCUCUCACGGACAACCCGUGAGCACACAGCACUGUCACUCUUGUGACUGUCACUCUCACAGAGCAGUGUAGGUGAUGCGCGCAGCAGAUCCGCCGAACAAAAUUAGGCCCGUGGAAUUUGUUUAUUUUGGCCUGUAAUUAAAUCAGAACAGGGAUACCGCAGCCUGCCUCGUCACUUAAAGGGCCGUUUUACUGUCCUGGAUACUCCGUGACUUAGAGGCAAAAGGCGCUGGUAGUGGUGCUCUGGUGAGAAAGACUGUGUUAAAUACAGAGUAAUGUUAAUGCCAGGCUUACUGCACCAAAAUGCCUUGCCUUCAGGCAUCUUUUACGAGACUCAGUCAGCAGAUGAAAGACUACAGUCAGAAAAACGAGUGAGCAAAACCAAACCACAGUAAAAUGAAAACAACAGACAGCUCUGUUAUCGAGUUGAAGGGGGGUGGGGGGGGGGGCAGGAACUGCAUUCCUCUGUAUGCAGUCACUUCAUUAAAGCCAAUGUGAAUAUUGCUAAUUCCACACAGGAACCAACGCCGCGCACCUGAUGGAAAGUAGACGCAACAUUUCGGUAAAAACGAUCGCGUGAAGGGAAAAAUGUUACCCCUCCCUCGCGCUGCGCGAUAAUCUCUGUCGUAAAGUUAGCCUGAAGGUAUUUUUUUUUUCUCCUUUGAAAAGCAUUAAAAAAAACCACAAACCUGAGAGAUGUUCUCCCAGAUGGUCUUGUGGGUGUGUGUUUCCCCGCUGCAGGGUUUUCUGGUAUGCCGAUUCACCGUAAAACGCUGAGGCGGAUUAAGAUCUUUUUUUUUAAAGUGCGUCUUUGUUCUUGGAUGAUGAGGGGGCGUGUCUUGUGCUUUACACGGUUGUAGCUUUUAAUGACUCCGAAUAGCUAGGUUAAGGAGCCGGAGCACUGCGGAGGCGAUGUCUUGUCAGCGCGUGCGGCCAACAGGUGCUCGUCCAGGGGGGCACGCUUCGCUCGUUUGACCUCUGACCCUGGACUGCUGCAGACUCUGAGUAGGGGAAGCGGGAAGCCAGACUUUCUCUUCGGCUUGUUCACCUUUGACCUCUAGAGGCCUGGGUUCACAUGUAUAAGACCACUCAUAGCGAAUGUUCGCUCUCAAGUAUAGGAAGAUUCCUGUAUAUUUAUGUAGGAAAGAACAGGAUAAUUGUGUAACUGCGCUACUGGAAGUAAGAAUAACACACUUAUCGUCAGUGACGCUGUAGGGCUGUCCAAGUGUCAGUUGAAGAGUUGUGACUCAGACACUUCGGCUGUUUCUGUGUCACACAGUGAAAAGAUUAAUUGAUUUCCUAACCAGUCCAGGAUGUCCAACAAAAACAGUUGCGUUUUCAUUUCCAGUAUUACUACAUGAUCUUCCUGACCUGUCUGUCCUUCAGGUUUAAUAUUAACAAUCAAAUGUGUAAGAUCUAGCUGGCAGUACACCUUCCUGAAAAAAAUGAAUGGCUAGUUAGCAAACGUAACCUCCAUUACCAGUUGCAUUAGUUUACUGCUAGCUACCUACUAUCUACUGUAACAAGCUAGUUAGCGAGUAUAUAUUCUCCUGCAGGAAAGAAAUAAUUUUUAUUUUGUAGUUGCUGUCAUCAUGAUUCAUAGUUAUUCAUGCUCAUAGCAUGAUGUCUGACAGGUAGGUCAGGUGAAUCAGGUAGGCUAGGUCAUGCAGGGAAAGUUGUCUUCCUGUAACACCUGCUUCGGUUGUGCGUUGGCAUUCAUGUGUGAAUUGUCGCUCUGUGUGAAAGUUUUGAGAAGCCAAUAACUUCAUUCUCAAACCCUCAUUUUAUGUCAUUUAAUGCAUCUCUCAAAACUGUAAAGCGAAUCUUAAAGGUACUCCUAAGAACUGGUCCGGUUCUUUGAUAAGAGUUACUUUUAAGCAGCUUUAUGGCAUAUUCUUGUGUGCAACUUUUGGCUAAGAAUUGUUUUCAAUUUUGAAAGCUUUCUGAAUGUGUUUCUGGCGUAAUUCUCAGAAGGUUUAUUCCUACAAGUCUAGAUGUCAGAGGCCACUUGGAGAGCUUAAAUGGUCCAAGCACGAGAAAAUGUGUUUGGGGAUUUGACUUUUUCCUCUCUCCACAUCAGUCCUCCUGUUUGAUUUCAUAUUUCAUAUCCUGAGCCUUAUUAUUUAAUAAAAAUAAUAGACGUUAACGGGAAUAACUGCUGUCUGUCUGUAUUCUUUCUCAUGCUAAACUAGGCCCUGAUUCUGAACUGCCUGGUUGCUUCACUGAGCAUACCUGUGCAUAACUGCACAUCGGUGUGAGUGAUCUCUCACCUGUCAUCUUCUCACCCUCUGGCAUUCAAGCACACAGAAAUGACGUCACCAUCAUAAACGUGUUCACGGCCCUGAAUUGAGCAAUUUGGCUCAGUUUUGAAGUUGAAUGGGUGGUCUUUUUCAGUGCUGCACUUCCUUAUGCAGUGGAGAAUUUGUUUCCUAAAGCUGGAUCUCUAAGAAUGAAACCCCCCCUCUCCCAUCCGAAGGAGAAUGUACCUGUCACAUCCCCUUAACAUCUUAAUGUUAAUCGUGACGGACGCACCCCUCAACAUUGUAACGUUAGCCGUGACAGGAAGCUUCCCCGUGUGCUUUGUCAGCGGAGGCUGCUUCCGAAGAGAUAUGUUGUCGUAUGGGUUUCAGUCAGGUGAGCAAAAAGCCAAGCCUAGACUAUUCAGGAGCUCCUCACUGCCAAAAUGCGAACACACACAUAGACGGGCCUAAGUAAUUUACUGUCUGCUCCCAGUCGUCCUCUCCACUCGUUGUGGGGUCCGAGGCUGUAUAUUACUGCUGGACCUUCGGAGAGAGCAAUAAAGCCAUAAUACAUUGCCUAAAUAUUGGGUUUCAUAAAGUGCUCAGCAAUGUUAUGGAGAGGGAUUUAGGUUCAGCCUUUUGAUAUUCUCUUUCCCCAGCCUUCUGCUCAUGAGAAUGACAACGCUGGUAAAACACGUAACUGUGUGGACCCUGGAUUCGAGGUGUGACGCAGGGUGGGCUCGUGCUACUGAUGCAGAGACCACAGCAGCAAUGAACCCCCUGGUUACACAGUGAACUACCCAGAUGGCCAACAAACAUCUCUCUCUGUGUUUGGCAUGUGUUAUGCACAUGCACACGCACAGUUUGCAUGCAUAUAUGGGGUAUAUGAAAGAAAGAUUGCUUCCUUGCUGCCAUUUAUUAGGACACACAGUCCCCCUUAUCCUAUCCCCUAGCACAGGUGUAGCCUACGUCCACAUUGUUAAUGAUGUCACUUCCUGUACCCUAUCUGGGAUAGAGGCUGUGUUAGUGGACAGUUUUGUCACCUGCAGUUGUGAUGCAGAGAAGUGUGCUCAGUAUUGAAUGGUUAUGAACAAAAGCUGGCAUAGUUAAUAUGUUAUUUAGUUAUGGCUGUUUGGCUGUUUUAUCAGCCUUAAUACUGGGGGGAUGUUUUAAAUCAGUAAAGUUCCUUUAAUGGCAGUAUAAUUUAGCACUUACCCUACACUACAGGCUACAGGAGCUGAAUUCUGCCUGUAAAAUUAUGCCGUGAGGCAGUUGUGGUAACUGAAGCUCUGUCUCUGUUUACACUGUGCUUUUUACGUUACGGUCUUUUUCCCUGGCCUGUGUAUUUUCUGGAUUUCUCACCUGAAGCCUUUGCAAACAGCGACUGACAGCCGGCCAGACCUUGUACAGGUUAUUUGAGUUAAAAACCUCAGUGGGUUAUACUGCCCCCUGGUGUUCGCUCAGGUCACUGGCGCAGCAUGGACACCGGUCUCUCUUAAAUCCCUGCGGUGUGUGUGUGUAUGUGAGUGUGAGAGAGACUCAGAGAGAGAAGGAGAGACCUCAUCAGUGUCCUUACAUACUGUGAAUCCAGGGGUGUUUCUAAGACUGGCUGUACAUUACUGCCUGAGAAAUAUGAAUCCUAUGAAUGGAGCAGUAUGUGAACAUGUGCAGAGUAGAGAAAAGAUUUUCUUUGAUCAUGAUUUAUGACAUGGGUUUAUUCUGGUAAAUUGAAACAUUGGCUUUGAAAGUUGUAAUCCGCAUGGUAGUUACAGUAAGGGUAAUGGAGAUAAUGUGCAUGAUUUAUGACAAAAAGUGGUGAUGACUUUUAUCAGAAAUUUCUUCAUUUGUCAUUCAUGUAUUAGAGCUUUUAUGCAUAGCACAAGAUAAAAAAAUAAGAAUACACUAUAUACGUACUAUUGAAGUAUUUGCAUAUUUAUCUUUUCAUAUCUCAGAAUAUCUUUUUACAUUCACAAUUCACUGUACCUCUUUUGUGUCAGUCACGUUUUCUGCAAGCUUAUCUAGUCGUAACUGGAGUGAGGUUUUAGUGAGCUUUGAGAUUCCUUUCAAAUGUUUGUCAGCUCAUGUUCCAUUCCCAUAUACAGUACUAAAUGCACUGGAGGGCAUUCAUUUAAGUUCUGUAAAAUUUGAUAUACUUUUACUUGAAAGGGACAGAUUACUUUUGGUUAGCUCCCUGCCUGGCCUGUGAUUGGUUAGAUGUCUUUCAUGUUAGAGAUGUAGGAGACCGCUCCUCUCGCCAGCCCAAACCCCAUGGGGAAAAAGAUGUCUCGCGAGUCAGACAUACUGAGAAACUCAGCCGUUCCCCAAACACCAGGUGCUGAAAUUGACUGGGUUUGUUUUUGCGCCAGUAGUUAUUCUGUGGAACUUUUCUGUCCACAGUUUUUAUAGAGCUCUGGAUGACCAUUUCCCACCUAGUGUCAUUUCUUUCAUCCAUCUCCUUAAACUGCUUUUUAUCUGCUUUUCAGCAGGUGAAACAGAAGGUCUGCAUUGCUGUGCAUUCCAGCAGGUGAAGCAGCAUGUAUGCACUGCUGUGCAUUUCAGUACGUGAAGCAGCAUGUAUUCACUACUGUCCAUUUCAGAAGGUGAAAGAGCAGGUCUUCACUGCUGGGCAUUUCAGCUGGAAAAACUAAGCAUGUCGGCAUUAUUGAGCAUCUUUAGGCCACCAUUUUGCUAAUUGUCAUUUUGAAUUUAAUCCAUUAGUUACUGUCUUUGCAACUGUGUAUAACAAUGGGGAGAUAUCCAAAUCUAGUUACUGUAUUUGCCAACUAGGUCUGUCAAUCUUCAAGCUUCCAGUCCUCACAGUGUUAUAAAAAGCUGUUUCAUUUUAAAUACUUAUUCUGUCAUCAUUUUAGAAUGUGGGGGAGAGUUUAAAUCACCUUGAAUGUAAUCUGUUAGAUAAUGGAGUUAAAUUGACUCACAUGUGCAGUAAUCCUGUUGUGGAGUGAAGUUUAAAUGCCUGUGCUUUAAUGCUGUUAGAUGAUGGAGUGAUGUUUAAAUACCUGUGUUUAAUCCUGUUAGAUAGUGGAGUGAAGUUUAAAUGCCUGUGUUUAAUCCUGUUAGAUUGUGGAGUGGAGUUUGUAAUGAAUGUGUUUAAUCCUGUUAGAUUGUGAAGUUUGAAUGACUGUGUUUAAUCCUUCUACAUUGUGGAGUGAAGUCUAAAUGGCGGUUUAAUCCUGUUACAGUAGCUACACUUUCUGUUGACCGAAUGUUGUGGUUUGUGAUGAAAUCCUGGUGAUUCAAACAGCAGGUGUUUGAGGAGCAGGUUUUCUGCAGUGAAUACCGAAGCCGGUAUGCGGUCUGUCGCAUUUCAAGGGUACGGACGCAUAGUUGUGGUGUGUGGGCUAUUAGUCCGCCGGUAUCUGAGCGAGCGAUACUGAACAAAUGGGAAGCACUUGUUUUAUUUACCCAUCAAAUUGGCUCUCAGGGACUUUACAUUUCAGUAAAGCCCUGAUAGCAGCGUUCUUUAUUAAGACCUCCCACACAAACACAGGGAUGUGUUUCCACAUCCCUGACACAGCCUCGGCUCAUGUUGAUAACCACAUGCUUUCUGCGAUACCAGCCUUCCCUUGUUAUUCCGGACUUUUCUGGGGUUUUACUGGAAUCCGAAGGCUGUCUGUUAUCUGUUCAAAUAGCCUGCGCACAAGCACUGUCAUAUUUGCCUCUGUUGUUCAUGACGCGUUGAGGUGCCACCAUCGAUGGGAAGCGAAUUCUCAUUUACGCAUUUCUUGCAGUUCAUUUGUUUAUUAAGUGAAAAAGACAUCGGCUGAUAUUGACUAUUUGUCCUUAACUAUGACUACAAAUUAAGUGCUAUUUAGAAAAUUAUUUUGUCAUCACACAACUCGUCAAGUUCACCUAGCGCUAAAAUAGGCUUGCUGAACUGAGUUCGUAAAACGUUUACUUGUUUGUCAAAGUUAAGUGUUGACUUAAUACAGGCUACAGAGUAUCUGCAUUGUCUUGUAUGUGUAAUGAGCUCAGAUUGGCAAUGAAGUAUAAAAUUAUGUCUUGGUUCAGGUUAGGCAUAAUUAGGCUACAGUUGGACAUUGUUAGGCUGUGGGUGUGGCCUGGUUAUGCUGCGGUUAGGCACGGUCGGGCUGUGGUCUGGCUUUGGUUUGGUCACAGCUCUAAGGGCAUAUCUCAGCAUAGCUAUCAGUGGCUAUCAUUAUGUGGGCGUUCUUACACAUUAUGUGUAUUCGUUCUUUUCCGAAUCUCUUGGAUGGCAGUGGACUGUUGGUCCAUUUGACAGGACCUUCUGUUCCUCUUGCUACAUUUUUGGAGUGGUGAUGAGAUGAGUAGAUCUCGUGGUGGUUAAAUUGAUUUAAGAAUCCUUUUUUUUUUACUUACUCUCUCAAAGUACGACGAUGUUUGUGAUCUCAGGAGCGUUUAAAACGUGGAAACUGGUCUCAGAGAAACAGAGUAAUCGAUCUUCUCAUGGAAGCUGUCGCAGGAAUGGUCCACUAUACCUGCUGUCUAAUCGAAUCACGCGCUUCACGUCGAGACGUUGCGCGGUAGCCGUGAAAAGAGGAAAUGGCUUUGGGCGGCGUGUUUGUUUUUGCUCGCCGCCAGGCCGUGAGUGACACGAAGCAGCCUUGCCGGAGCCCGCGCGGGCUGGGAGGAGAGGACCUGCGCGUUGGGGCCGCGAGGCUGGUAUAGACCCCCCCGCUCGCGGGCGACGGCUGCUACGUGCUCCGAGGAAGGGGGUCGUUCCGGGGUCGCCGGUUAGCAGGAGAGACGGGUGACCUCAGUCGCUGGUUUUGCCGUGGGACUGCGCUGGAACAGUUGGUCGUUCAGUCGCUCAACUCACACCUGUCAGCUCGGAAUAAUGCAUUAAACCUGGUCUUAUGGGUUUUUUUUUUCUUCCACAUAACUUGCACAGCAUGUUGAAAACUUCCACUUUCACUGGAAUUUGUGUCCUGUUCAAACCAAGUGCAUUGGGAAUGGACUGUGUAAAGCCCACCUGGACUGGAGCUUUAGGAUACUGUACAUUGAUCACAUUGUGUAACCUGCACAUCUGUCACCAUGAUGUAGAAUUUAAUCGAAUUCAAGCAAUGGGAUGAGUUUUGGGUUUUGUGUAAUGUGAAAAAGAUGUUGAGUAUGGUACGUUCAUGUACUUUCCAGGCAAUUCAUGCUUUGUGAGUUAUAAGUAUUACAUUUGUUAAAUUGAAAACAGGUAUACCUGUCUUCAUCCUGUUUCUGAUUAAUAAAGCUCAUAUCCUUUUUGUUUGUAAUCUU